AAACAAUACAACAUAUUACUAUUUAACAAAUAAAAGAAGUCAUUUAAACUUUAAUUAUGAAGAUUUAUUAAUAUAAACUGUAGGCCCCAAUUUUAGCCCGGGGCCCAACAACUAAAAAUCCAAAUAAUAAACAGUCUCCUAUUAAAGUCUAGUUUACAAACCCAAAAGUAUUACAGGCCCAAUUCGUAAAACAAAAACUUAGACCUAAAGAAGAUACAAAGGCCCGAUUGACCCAAAGCUUUGAGGUUUUCGAAAACCCUAGGUUUCCCUUUGCGCCGCAGCACUAGCACCUCCACGCACGACCUCUGUGCGCCCCGCUCCACGUCGCCCUCCACCACGUCCUCAUGGCACCUGUAACUUGAGUGAAAAAUAGCAACAGAAAUGGCUAUAAAAGCCCUCAAAUUUCCAUUUUGUUUGGACUUUUUUUUUGUACGAACAUAUACACAAAGAAAUCAAAAUACAAGGUGACCCUUUUAUUAUUUUCGAGUGUUUUUUAUUUUUAUUUUUAUUUUUUUGAGACGUUUUACUACUAUUGUUUUAUUUUUAUUUACAUAUAUUUCAUAAAAAAAAGAAACAAAAAAUAGGGGAAUUUUACGAUGGCACCGGCAACGGUGGCCGGCGGCCGGCGGCGAGCGGCGGUGAUCGGCACUAGGGCCUGGCCGGGCUUCAGGCCUGCAGAGAAAAGGGGAGAGGGGCUUUUGUUUUUUUUGAAGGAAGAAGGAAAAAAAUGAAGUUUUCAAAAAAACAUUGGUAUUUAUAGGCCUCUCAAUCCGCG
rnacentral:lncRNA from 1 species